rnacentral:tmRNA from 1 species
AGCGAGAUCAAAAAUAGCUAAACAUGUAGAUUCGACUUUUGACUUAUUUCUGGACGCGGGUUCGAUUCCCGCCACCUCCACCA